rnacentral:sRNA from 1 species
UUGAAUGAUCGAUAAGCUGGUAUUCAC